GAUUGCUUUGAAAACAACAAAUUACAAUUUUUCAAAUGACUAUGUAGAAUUAAAUUCUAUUAUUUAAAAAUUCAAUUACUUUGGGGGGGGGGGGUUUAACACCCCCCCCCCUGCGUUCGCCCCUGAACGGAGGUCAAGAGAAAUACGUUAACAAAUAUUGUAUGGACUCUUUUCCGUAAGUGAGGAGGCAUCGUUUGAGCACAAUAAUUGCAUUAAGCCCUGCCAUAGAGACGGAAGUGUUAAUGAUGUGUUCACUAGUUGGGAUUAUCAAAGCAAGGACCAUUCCCACCGGUCCUACGUUACCUCAGUUCACCCAGAUUUCAUCCGGCCAAGGUCUGUUACUUCGACAACCUAACCCUGAUUGGAUCGAUAAGUAAUUACGCCAUCCAUGAAUAAAUAUUUAUUGUUUUGAAUAGAAUGCUUAGUAUAUA